AUGGACUUAGGGCUCAUAUUGGUUUUCUCUGUCCUUAUUUUAAAAGGUGUCCAGUGUGAGGUGCAGUUGCUGGAGUCUGGGGGAGGCUUAGUGCAGCCUGGAAAGUCCCCGAAACUCUCUUGUGCAGCCUCUGGAUUCACCUUCAGUGAUUAUUACAUGAACUGGGUCCAUCAGGCUCCAGGGAAGGGGCUAGAGUGGGUCGCAUACAUUACUGGUUGUGGUGAUACCACCAGUUAUACUGACGCUAUGAAGGGCCGGUUCACAAUCUCCAGAGACAAUGCCAAGAAUACUCUGUACCUGGAAAUGAGCAGUCUGAGGUCUGAGGACACAACCAUCUAUUACUGUUCCAGAGCAAGCAGUUUGUCUGUUGUCUGCAGCAUCCAUGACACAGUUGUAAAUAACUUAAAACAGUGUAUCCAAUGCAGGGUCCAGGUGAAGGAGUCAGGACCUGGCUUGGUGCAGUCAUCACAGACUCAGACCCUGUCUCUUACCUGA